rnacentral:rRNA from 1 species
GAUGAACGCUGGCGGCGUGCCUAAUACAUGCAAGUCGAGCGAACGGACGAGAAGCUUGCUUCUCUGAUGUUAGCGGCGGACGGGUGAGUAACACGUGGAUAACCUACCUAUAAGACUGGGAUAACUUCGGGAAACCGGAGCUAAUACCGGAUAAUAUUUUGAACCGCAUGGUUCAAAAGUGAAAGACGGUCUUGCUGUCACUUAUAGAUGGAUCCGCGCUGCAUUAGCUAGUUGGUAAGGUAACGGCUUACCAAGGCAACGAUGCAUAGCCGACCUGACAGGGUGAUCGGCCACACUGGAACUGAGACACGGUCCAGACUCCUACGGGAGGCAGCAGUAGGGAAUCUUCCGCAAUGGGCGAAAGCCUGACGGAGCAACGCCGCGUGAGUGAUGAAGGUCUUCGGAUCGUAAAACUCUGUUAUUAGGGAAGAACAUAUGUGUAAGUAACUGUGCACAUCUUGACGGUACCUAAUCAGAAAGCCACGGCUAACUACGUG